rnacentral:ncRNA from 15 species
AUCUUUGAUGACCAUUUUUUAAAAUACAAACUAGAGUUUCUGAUUAAUUUAUGAUUUCAAAUUCUUGCUGA